AAUACCAAAUAUGCAAUAAGCAAUAUGGCAAGAGGAUAAGAGUUCAGACUAAGGUCCAAGAUCGAAAGCGUAGUUCAGCAAUUGAUCUCAGUUUUCUAGAGGGGAGAAGGAUGCCAUGAAUGGUCUCCAUGAAGAGAGAUGCUGGCAGCAGCUUGCAGAUGGUCUCAGGACAAGGGUGUUUGUAUCGCCUCCUAUGCCUGAAGUAGCUGGCUUCGUGUGGAGAUCUUCAAAUGGACUAGGACAGAGAUAUGUAUCCCAAAGGAACUGGUAGAUGUCACAAACCAAAGGAGAAGAGCAUGAUGUGAGAAAUGUACUUCCAGGUGUAACGGGGUCUAUAACAAAACUUCAGAUUUGUAAAUUCUGGGAAACCACACCAUCAGGAAACCAAUUUUAAAGCUGUUAUUCAAAUGGUAUGAAAGUUAAUGAAUCAUUAAAUGAAGCAAUAUCAAAACAUGUGCAGGAAAUUUUCAAAUAAAUUUCACAAAACUUCUGAAUAAAAGAU